CUCCCUCACUGGCAGUAACCCAGCGCCUCCAUUGCUGACCUCUACCGACCUUCACCUGUGGUCCUUCCUCUACUGCAGCAGUGACACUGUUUUCCUCCUUUGUUCUUCCACCCCCAUGAGGACUAUCACAGAAGUGAAGUGCAGUUCUCAUCAUGUCAUAUCAAUAGCACACACUAACAACCUGACUUAUUGCUGAAUAUUGAACUUGAUCACCUGGCUGAGGUAGUGUUUGCCAGAUUUCUCUGUAAAGGUGAAUAAACUGACACUGGAACAUUCAGGAACUUCUUCAUGGUCAUGGUCACCCAGCUAGAGUGUGGAAGCCAGGCUGUCUGAGUCCAGGAUCUGUGUUCUUAAUCCAACACAUAAGGAAGCCAUAAUGAGUCAACCACUAUUUUUAAGAUUCACAGAUGUUUGUGUCCAAUUCACCAGAAUGCCAAGUUAUACAGGGUUGUGGAAUCAAAAACUGCAAUUAGUAAUAAAAUGUGAUGCUAUCUGGAAUGUUUUUCAUACAUAUAUAUGCUUCUUGGGAUUCUCCCUGCAGGUUAAGAGAAAUUGAGGAACAAUGGAGAAUUUAAGUGUUUUAGAUCCUACAAACAUUAGACUUAAAAAUAGUAACUAUAUACAUGAGUAUUUAUAAACUUAAGAAUGAACAUAACAUGAACCAUGUGGCACCUAUAAAAUGAAAAUAAAAUACCUACAAACCAAAUGAGAGCAAUAAAAGAAGCUUUAAGGACUUUCACUUCAGGGAGUCUGAAUUAGAUGCGCUUCUUCCCAUUCCUCCCUCUAAUUACAACAAGCUUGGACGUUACAUACAGAACAAACAGAAGGAGCCUCUGAAAGAUGAAGAGAAGGCAAGUAAGCUACAGACUUCACAACGUAAGGAAUAAUAUGGUGGUGAGUUACAUUUGUGAUUUUUUUUUGUCUCAUAUCCCAUAAUAUCUCAUAUCUCAUAAUCAGAAAGCACAAUGGAAAAGUAUUCCACUGCCAAUGGUGUUAGAGAACUGCUCACAAAUUCAACAGAAAUGCACAGAUACCAAAGCAGAAAGGACAAUAAACAAGAGUCUUCAUGGUCAAAAGAUUAGAACCUGCAGCUUUCAAUGGGAGGGACAGGUUCUGGACCACACUGCAGUGCUUUUCUGCUUUCUGUGCUUUCCCAAUCUAGAGCUGAAGAAGGUAACGACCCCAAAAUGUCAAUAUACGUAGACCAAAAACCAGCCCCAAUAAAAGUCUGCUCUCUCUAGCCAAAGGACUACAGUAGGGCAGCCCAGCAAGACAGAAAAACUUCAGACAACCUACCCCAGCCAAACACUGCCAAAAAAAGUAAAGGAAAAAGUGAGCCAUCACCCAAUCCACAUCAGUAAAAACUAAGUGGAAAGUCCAGACUUUCACCUCAAGAGGUUGCGACAAGCUACUCCAAUACCCCUGCUGGGAUAGUGUCACAGAAGGCUAAGUAAGGAGCUGUGAUGUUGAUUCUCCUCCAGAAGUAAAGAGUCCGUACCUGCUAUUUUCAGACAGACCACAUGGAAAGCCUAGAUUUCAACACCUAUCCAGCAUUAAUGAGGUAUUCCUUCCCUUCUUUACUCUCUGGUGUCAAAGAAGCUCCGUGCAGAGUCAGAAUGUUUGGCGUUACUCCUCAGUAGUGAGGCCACCCCCACCACGGUGUUAGUGGAGACCAUGUGAGGACCAGGACUUGUACCCUGCCCAGAAGUAACGAGUAGACCCCUCUACAGGAAGGCCAAAGGGCAACCUAAACUUCUACCUCUCUCUGGCAGUAAUAAAGUAGGGCCUCACUUUUCCCUGCUGAGCAAUAUAAAAAAAAGCCAGCUGAAGUAAAAGCUUAUUUCUUUCUUUCUUUAUACAUAUUUUUGGGGACAGGGUCUUAUUCUGUCACCCACGCAGGAGUACAGUGGCAUAAUCAGGGCUCACUGCAGCCUCAACCUCCUGGGCUCAAGCAAUCCUCCCACCUCAGCCUCUUGAGUAGCUGAGACCACAGAUGUGCACCACCACACAUAGCUAACAUUAACAUUUUUUCUAGAGAUGGGGUCUUCGUAUGUUGCCCAGGCUGGUCUGGAACUCCUGGGCUCAAGUGAUCCUCCCACCUUGGCCUCCUGGAGGGCUGGGAUUACAGGCAUGAGUCAUCACUCCAGGCUGAAGCUUUAUAUAAUAACCAGAGUCUCAUAUAACAAAAUGUCAAAGAUUCAGUCAAAAGUUACUUGUUAUCAGUGGACAAGAUCUCAAACUAAAUGAAAAAAAGACAAUUAAUAGAUGCUAACACUGAGAUAACAAAGUUGUUAGAAUCAUCUGACAAAGAUUUUAAAGCAGCUAUAAUAAAAGUGCUACUGCGAGUGAUUAUAAACAUGCUUGAGACAAAUGAAAAAAUGCUAUAAAGCUAAAAAAUAAAAUAUGUAAAUAAGAAUCAAAGAGAAAUUAUAGAACUAAAAUAUACCAUAACUGAAAUGCAAAGCUCUGUGGAUGGACUCAACAACAGAAUGGAAAAGACUGAGGAAAGAAGUAGUUUACAGGAAAUUAGAACAGACUAGAAAAAAUGAACAAGACCCUGUGCUAAAGAGCAAAUAUUUAUGUCAUUGGAUUCCAGCAAAGAUAAGAGAAUGAAAAAGUACUUAAAUAAUGGCUUAAAAACUUCUCACAUUUUGCAAAGAUUUAAACCUACAAUUUGAGAAGCUGGGCAAACCUUAAACAGGAUAAACCAAAGACACUCACACCAAGAAACAUAGUAAUUAAACUUCUGAUUAAGGAAGAAAAAGAAAAAUCUGGAAAGCAGCAAGAAAAAAAAUGACACACUUUCUAUAUGGUAAAAGCAAUUUGAACGACAGAAGAUUUCUCAUCAGAAACUGUGGGGACCAUGAGGAAGUAACAGAUAUUUUUCAAGUGCUGAAAUAAAUCAACUGUCAAUACAAAAUGCUCUACUCAGUGAAAAUAUCUUUCAGGAAUAAAGGGGAAAUCAGGACAUGCACAGACUUUUUUUAAAUUAAGAAUUUGUUGUCAGCUUAUCUCCCUGAAAGAAUGGCUAACAUUCUCCAAACACGAAGGAAAUUGAUAAGGAAUCUUGAAAUUUCAGUUAGAAACAAUGAACAUGGUAAGCAAAAUAUAGGUCAGUACACUAAGUUUAAUUUCUCCUCUUGAAUUUUCUAAAUUAUGACUUACGAUUGAAGCAAAAAUCGUAACAUUAUCUGAUGUAUAUGUAGAGGAAAGAUUUAAGACAGUGAUGGUAUAAAUGAGGGGUAUAAUGGAACAUGAGAUAACCACUAAUAUGACAUACCAAUAGACUAUGAUAAAUUAUGUGUCUAAUGUGAUUACUAGAAAAACCAGUUAAAAUAUAAAGAUUGAUGGAGUGAAUUUAAAAACAUGACACACUAUAUACUGUUUACCAUAAACUCACUUUGAAGAUAAUGCCAUAGUCAGGUUGAAAUUAAAAGGAAUAAAAUAGUGUAUUAUGUAAACCAUCAAAAAAAGCAGGAAUGGCCAUAUUAAUAAUAUUAAAGUCAGCUUCAGAACUAAGGAAAUUAUCAGAGAGGGACAUUAUAUAAUGAAAUAGUCGAUUUACCAAAAGAACAUAGCAAUCAUAAAUGUGCAUGAAGCAAACAACAAAGCUGGAAAAUAUAUGAAGUGAAACUGAUUGAUAGAUCUAAAAGGAGAAACAGAUAAAUCCAUUCAUUAUAGUUGGGGCCUUUAUCACCCCUCACUCAACAAUUGAUAGAACUGGACAGAAAACCAGUAAGAAUAUGAAAGAACUCAGCAACAUGAGACAAUAGGAUCUAGUUGAUAUUUAUAGAACAUUCCAACAGCAGAAUACAUGUUCUUCAAGUGCUCACAGAACACACAUAAAAGAUAGACCCUGAGCCAUAAAACAAGCCUCAACAAAUUUAAAAGAACUGAAAUACUACAAGUACUUUCUCCAACCACGAAAGAGUCAAACUAGAAAUAAAUAACAAUGAUAAUGGGAACAUCACCAAACACUUGAAAACUGAACAACAAUAGUUUUAUAACCCAUGGUCAUAGAGGAAAUCUCAAAAGAAAUUUUAAAAAUGCACUGAACUGAAUGAAAAUGAAAACAACAUAAAAUUUGUGAGACACAUAAAGCAGAACUGAUGGGAAAAUAUAUAGCACUAAAUGCAUGCUCUAGAAAAGAAAAGUCUUCAAUUAGUAACCUAAGCUUCCACCUCAAAAACAUAAAAAAAGAAGGAAAAAUAGACCCAAUGCCAGCAGAAAGAUGCAAUAACAAAGAGUAGAACUCAAUGAAAUUGAAAACAGAUAAACACUUUAAAGAAUAAAACAAAGAGCUGGUUAUUAGAAAAGAUCAAUUAAUUGACAAACCUCAAGCAAGACUUUCAAAAAAAAAAAAAAAAAAGGACUUAACUAUACCAGAGAUGAAAUGGGAUAUCGCUAUCAAUACUGCAAACAUCAAAAGGAUAAGUAGAUACUAUGAACUGUACAGACAUGAAUCUGACAAUUUAGACAAACUGGAUCAUUUCCCUAGAAAACACAAACUACUACAGCUUACCCAAUGUAAAACAGAUUAUUUGAAUAGCCUUGUAAGUACUAAAAAAAAAAAUUAAACUCAUUAUUUAAAAAUUCCUAAAAAGAAAGUCUCCAGGGCCAAAUUGUUUCCUUCAGAAUUCCACCACAUUCGUAAAGAUUUGACAGCAAUUCUAUACAGUCUCUUUGAGAAAAUAGAAGGGGGUAUUUUCUAAUUCAUUUUAAGGAGCUAGUAAAUACCCUGAUACUGAAAUGUAUACUGCAAAUUGAUAAAAUUAUAGACCCCUGCAUAUUAAAUUUCAAAAUAAAAACGAUAAAAAUACUUGGGUAAUGAAUAACAGCAUAACAAAAAAACCACAGACUAAUAUCUCAUGAACAUAGACACAAAAAAAUGCUUCACAAUAUGACACAGAAUUCAGUAAUAUAUGAGAAUUAUAUACCAUGACCCAGUAAGACUUAAUCCAAGAAUGGAAGACUGGCUCAAUAUUUAAAAAUCAAUCAAUGUAGUGCAAAUAUUAAUAGCUAAUGAAGAAAUGUCAUAAAAUUAAUACAGAAAAAGGAUUUGACAAAAUUCAACACUCAUUUAUGUAAAAAUGCUCCAAAAAAAUAGGAAUUAAAGGACACCUACAAGAAACUUUCAGCUAACAUAAUUUUUUUUAAUUAAUUUAUUUAUUGUUAUUAUACUUUAGGUUUUAGGGUACAUGUGCGCAAUGUGCAAGUUAGUUACAUAAUUCUUAACGCUGAAUGAUUGAAUGUUUUCUUCCUGAGCUUGAGAAUAAGGUUAGGGUAUCAUCCCUAAUGACGAUUAUUCAACAUAGUGCUCAAAGUUCUAUGAAGUGCAAUUAGGCAAUAAAGGGAAAUAAAAGACAGGUAAAAAAAGGAAGAAACUAAAUUUUAUUUGAAAAAGCUGAUUGUCUACCUAGAAAAUCUCAAGGAAAACACUAUUAAUAUACAGAACAACGUGAAUGAAUCUUUGGAGAAUUAUGCUGCAUCAGAACAAGCCAAUCCCAAAAGAUUACAUACUAUGUAAUUCCAUUUGUAUAACAUUCUUGAACUGACAAAAGUAUAGAAAUGAACAGAUUAGUGGUUGUUAGGGGUUAUGGGUCAGAGAUAGGAGUUGGGGAUAUAAAAAAGCAACCUGAGGGAUCCUUAUGGUGAUUGAAACGUUCUGUAUGUUGGUUCUAUCAAUGUCAAUACUCUGGUUGGACUAUGGUUCUACAGUUUUGCAAGAUGUUAUUGAGGAAAACUGCAUAAAUGGUGCCCAGGAUCUCUCUAUUGUUUCUUACCAUGUAUCUGCAAUGAUUGCAAAAUAAAAAGGUUUAAUUUUUAAAAAGGAUUAAACAUUACAUAGCAUACACUUGAGUAAAAGACAAAAUCUGGCUAAGGAUUAUUUUUGUCCUAAGUAAUAUGUGGAUUUUGUACAACAUAAAUCACAACCCACUAAAAUCUAUAUUGUAAGAUA